rfam:Zea mays cultivar B73 chromosome 7, whole genome shotgun sequence.
UGGAUGAGAGCCGCUCGGGCUAGCCAAGGAGACUGCCUGCGAUCGACAACCACAAGCAGAAGAACAGCGUCCUCUGCGACUGAUGGAGGCCACAGGCAAGUCAUCCUUGGCUACCAGAGCAGUGCUCUCAUCG